CCUCUAAAAUUAAUAUUCUCACUCCGCCACAGUCUAAAAAUUAGAAUGACCCAAGAUUCAAUGUCACAUUCUUGAAAAUGGAAAAUAAAUGCAAACUUGACAGGAACAAUAAGAAACAAAAAAUGUCGAAAGAACGCUCUCCUUCUUUGUCACACUCUGCCAACGAUGACGAUGGAGAUUUACAUUCUGUCGAGGAUCGGUUUACCAAGAAAGUGAGAUUUAAGGACGGACUUGAUGAAGCAGCCGAGGAUAUGGUUGUGGAACCUAGUCUGUCUUCAACACCGUCAUGGAAAGAUAAGCUUCUGGGUGGUGCUUCGGUUUCAAUCAGAAUAGAUCGCGACCUUUUUCUAUCUGGAAAAGACGAUGACAAUAAUGGAGAUUUUGAUUUAUUAGAUGAUGACGUGCAAACAUCAAUCAUUAAUGGAAUGCCAACCAUCAGUUUUUCUGAUCGGAUUAAGGAAAUUUUAUUCAAAGAGAUGGAAUUAAUUGUGGUUAUCAAACUCUUAGGCCGGAGUAUUGGCUACAAUACCUUACACAAUCGCAUAACUAGCUUGUGGAAACCUAUUUCUCCUUUUCACCUCAUGGAUAUUGAAAAUGGGUACUACCUGGUUCGAUUUGUGAACAGAUCUGACUAUGAUUGCAUUUUGUCGUAGGGGCCCUAGAUCAUAUUUGGACAAUAUCUCACUGUUCAACCCUUGACCAAGGACUUCAGCUACAACCUUACCCUAGUGUGGUUUUGGCAUGGAUCGGACUACCAGGUCUCCGGGGUUUAUGUUUUGUCGACAAAUUGUGGAUGCUAUUGGGGGACUUAUUGGGAAGGUUGUGAAACUGGAUUUUCAGACAGAUAAUAGAACUAGAGGACGUUUUGUUCGCCUUGCUAUUUUCAUAAAUCUUGAUAAGCCUCUGGCCUCUCAAGUUAUGGUUGAUGGGGUGGUUUAGCGGGUGGAGUACGAGGUUCUUCCGACCGUUUGUUUUGGUUUCGGCAAGUACGGCCAUGUCAAGGAUUUAUGCCCUACGGUGGCUUUGGAUCGGGUCCCUACAAGGCUUCCUGAGAAGAUAAGUGUACCUUCAGAUUGUACCGACGGCGAAGCAGUUGAGGAAAGGAGGUCAGAGUUUAGGCCCUGGAUGCUGGUUGAAAUAAGGGCUCGACGUGGUCAAAAGAACGGUCGGAAUAACACCGGAGGGAAUAAACGAGUAAUUAAUGGAGCUAAAUCUUGUGAGGUUAUUGGAAGCUCUCGAUUUACGGUGUUGAAUAAGGUGGGAAAGACAAGCGAAGAUCACGCAGGUUUUGCUGGGAAUACUCUAUCGGUUAAGGAGAAUGAUAUUUUGUCGGUGAAGGUCUGAAGCAAGUAUAAGAGGAGCUGAAGUUUUUAAUAAUAAGGCUGGGGGUUUUAAAUUGAGG
rnacentral:lncRNA from 1 species